rnacentral:rRNA from 1 species
AUUGAACGCUGGCGGCAGGCCUAACACAUGCAAGUCGAGCGGAGCGGCGGACGGGUGAGUAAUGCCUAGGAAUCUGCCUGGUAGUGGGGGAUAACGUCCGGAAACGGGCGCUAAUACCGCAUACUAUCAGAUUAGCCUAGGUGGGAUUAGCUAGUGGGUGGGGUAAUGGCUCACCUGGGCGACGAUCCCUAGCUGGUCUGAGAGGAGGACCAGCCACACUGGGACUGAGACACGGUCCAGACGCCUACGGGAGGCAGCAGUGGGGAAUAUUGCGCAAUGGGGGCAAGCCUGAUGCAGCCAUGCCGCGUGAAUGAAGAAGGCCUUCGGGUUGUAAAGUACUUUCGGCAGGGAGGCGUUACCCACAGAAGAAGCACCGGCUAACUCCGUGCCAGCAGCCGCGGUAAUUC